UACGUAGGGAGCAAGCGUUGUUCGGAUUUACUGGGCGUAAAGGGCGCGUAGGCGGCGUGUCAAGUCAAUUGUGAAAUCUCCGGGCUUAACUCGGAACGGCCAAUUGAUACUGUCAUGCUAGAGUGCAGAAGGGGCAACUGGAAUUCUCGGUGUAGCGGUGAAAUGCGUAGAUAUCGAGAGGAACACCUGCGGCGAAGGCGGGUUGCUGGGCUGACACUGACGCUGAGGCGCGAAAGCUAGGGGAGCGAGCGGG
rnacentral:rRNA from 1 species